CAGCACCUCAAGUGGUCAGGAUGAUUAUUGGGCCUAAAGCAUCCGUAGCCGGCGCUGUAAGUUUUCGGUUAAAUCUGUACGCUCAACGUACAGGCUGCCGGGAAUACUGCAGCGCUAGGGAGUGGGAGAGGUAGACGGUACUCGGUAGGAAGGGGUAAAAUCCUUUGAUCUAUCGAUGACCACCUGUGGCGAAGGCGGUCUGCCAGAACACGUCCGACGGUGAGGGAUGAAAGCUGGGGGAGCAAACCGGAUUAGAUACCCGAGUAGUCC
rnacentral:rRNA from 1 species